UACGAAGGGGGCUAGCGUUACUCGGAUUGACUGGGCGUAAAGGGCGCGUGGGCGGCUUGUACAGUCAGACGUGAAAUUCCUGGGCUCAACCUGGGGGCUGCGUUUGAUACGUGCGGGCUUGAGUUCGGAAGAGGGUCGUGGAAUUCCCAGUGUAGAGGUGAAAUUCGUAGAUAUUGGGGAGAACACCGGUGGCGAAGGCGGCGACCUGGUCCGAUACUGACGCUGAGGCGCGAAAGCGUGGGGAGCAAACAGG
rnacentral:rRNA from 1 species